UACGACGGGGGCGAGCGUUGUUCGGAAUUACUGGGCGUAAAGGGCGCGAAGGCGGAAAAUCAAGUUAGAGGUGAAAUCCCAGGGCUCAACCUUGGAACUGCCUUUAAGACUGAUUUUCUAGAGUGUGUGAGAGGAUAGUAGAAUACCUAGUGUAGAGGUAAAAUUCGUAGAUAUUAGGUGGAAUGCCAGUUGUGAAGUCGGCUAUCUGGCGCAUUACUGACGCUGAGGCGCGAAAGCGUGGGGAGCAAACAGG
rnacentral:rRNA from 1 species